rnacentral:rRNA from 1 species
AUGAACUCUGGCGGCGUGCCUAAUACAUGCCAGUCGCGCGAACAGACGAGGAGCUUGCUCCUCUGACGUUAGCGGCGGACGGGUGAGUAACACGUGGAUAACCUACCUAUAAGACUGGGAUAACUUCGGGAAACCGGAGCUAAUACCGGAUAAUAUAUUGAACCGCAUGGUUCAAUAGUGAAAGACGGUUUUGCUGUCACUUAUAGAUGGAUCCGCGCCGCAUUAGCUAGUUGGUAAGGUAACGGCUUACCAAGGCAACGAUGCGUAGCCGACCUGAGAGGGUGAUCGGCCACACUGGAACUGAGACACGGUCCAGACUCCUACGGGAGGCAGCAGUAGGGAAUCUUCCGCAAUGGGCGAAAGCCUGACGGAGCAACGCCGCGUGAGUGAUGAAGGUCUUCGGAUCGUAAAACUCUGUUAUUAGGGAAGAACAAAUGUGUAAGUAACUAUGCACGUCUUGACGGUACCUAAUCAGAAAGCCACGGCUAACUACGUG